CAAAACAUUUGAUUCAUCCUAGUAUAGGUGAUAGAAAAGAUAGUAGGCGCAAUAACGAAAGUACCGUAAGGGAAACAUGAAAGACUUACUUUAAAGCACUCAAAAAGCAAAGAUUUACUCUUGUACCUUUUGCAUAAUGAUUUAGUCAGUUAAACUGGGCAAAAAGAAUUAAGCCCACCUCCCCGAAAUCAAGUGAGCUACUAUAAAACAGUCACAAGGACUAACUCAUCUAUGUAGCAAAAUAGUGGGAAGAUUUUAUAGUAGAGGUGAAAAGCCAAACGAACUUGAAGAUAGCUGGUUAUCCAAAACACGAAUUUUAGUUCAACUUUAAAUUUAAUUCAAACAUCUAUAAGACCAACUUAAAUUUAAAAGUUAAUCAAAAGGGGGACAUCCCUUUUGAUCAUGUAGACAAACUUAUCUAGAGGAUACUGAUCAAUACAAACCCAUUGUAGGCCUAAAAGCAGCCACCAAUUAAGAAAGCGUUAAAGCUCAAAUAUUCCCCAAUCCUUAAUUCCAACAAUCAUAACAUAAUCCCUACCCCCAUAUUGGAUAACUCUAUAACCUUAUAGAAGAUAUUCUGCUAAAAUUAGUAACAAGAAAUACUUCUCAUCGCAUAAGCCUAUGUUAGUUCGGAUAAACCACUAAUCAUUAACAAAAUCUUACUAAUACCUACAUCACAAGCAAACUAACUUAACUAACUGUUAACCCAACACAGGCAUGCAUCCAAGGAAAGAUUAAAAAGAAUAAAAGGAACUCGGCAAACAUAAACCCCGCCUGUUUACCAAAAACAUCACCUCUAGAAUGUAAAAUAUUAGAGGCAACGCCUGCCCAGUGAGUUUAUCUUCAACGGCCGCGGUAUCCUGACCGUGCAAAGGUAGCAUAAUCACUUGUCUCUUAAAUAGAGACUUGUAUGAAUGGCAUCACGAGGGUUUAACUGUCUCUUAUCCUCAAUCAGUGAAAUUGACCUCCCCGUGCAGAGGCGGGGAUUCUAAUACAAGACGAGAAGACCCUGUGGAGCUUAAGAUUUACAGCCUAUUAACAUCUAACAUAAACCCAAAGGAAUAACAUCUACAACCCCCUUAGGCUGCCAACUUUGGUUGGGGUGACCUCGGAGUAUAAAAAAUCCUCCGAAUGACAUAACCCAGAUUUACUAAUCUAAGUGUACAAAACCAUCAAUUGACCCAUUUCUUGAUCAACGGACCAAGUUACCCCAGGGAUAACAGCGCAAUCCUAUUAAAGAGCCCCUAUCGACAAUUAGGGUUUACGACCUCGAUGUUGGAUCAGGAUAUCCAAAUGGUGUAACCGCUAUUAAUGGUUCGUUUGUUCAACGAUUAAAAUCCUACGUGAUCUGAGUUCAGACCGGAGAAAUCCAGGUCGGUUUCUAUCUAUAUAUUAAUUUCUCCUAGUACGAAAGGACAAGAGAAAUAAGGCCCAUGUCACAUACAAGCCUUAACUUAAGAUAUGAAACAAUCUAAAUAUCUUAACACCAUACUUUCACGCUCUAGAAAAGAGCUA
rnacentral:rRNA from 1 species